UACGUAGGGUGCGAGCGUUUAAUCGGAAUUACUGGGCGUAAAGCGUGCGCAGGCGGUUUGCUAAGACCGAUGUGAAAUCCCCGGGCUUAACCUGGGAACUGCAUUGGUGACUGGCAGGCUAGAGUAUGGCAGAGGGGGGUAGAAUUCCACGUGUAGCAGUGAAAUGCGUAGAGAUGUGGAGGAAUACCGAUGGCGAAGGCAGCCCCCCUGGGCCAAUACUGACGCUCAUGCACGAAA
rnacentral:rRNA from 1 species